AGGUGAAGUCCACUAUUUCAGCUUCAUCAUUCAGCCUGGAAACUGAACUGCACCAUAAAACUUGUGCUUGAAAAGUGCCAUGGGACCCAUAUUAAUUGUCCAACUUUGAUCUGCUGGACAAAAGUAGCUUUGAAGAACAAGGAUCCCAGCUUAAAGAAAAACAUGUGUCACAUCCAUAAUUGUUUGACAUCAUAUUUAAGCCCACCUGGAUUCCUUGUUGCAAUGUCUUCAAAACAAAAGUAAAAAUGAAAGGAUUUCAGUGGUGAGCUCAUAACGAUGGGAUCAAAAGGAAGUGACCUGGACUCAGAGGGACUUAACACAAGAUUGUGAUGGACAUAGAAUGCGACACCGUUUACGAAUAAGUCAAGAACCAAAUGAAACACACUAUUUUCCAGAGUACAGAUUAUGGAGGGGUCUGCAAAACUAAUAGAGCAGUUUCUUCUUCUUGGAGUGCCACACCUUAAAUCCAAAGGUCCUAACAGCUCUCCUGAUUCCGUCAAGGCUUGAAGUGUCAGCAUUACGAUGGCCAACGCUCGCUCACUAUCCUUCUGCUCCCUUAUUUAUCAGAGGCACCACAGUAGAAUGAAUUAGCAAUUACUCUUCACUUUCCAGCCGCAACCCAGCACUGGGAAACACCCAUAUACUCUCUCAUACACCUGCACACAUUCACUCACUGUGGCCAAUUUACCAAUUCCUGUACGCAUACCUUUGGACUGUGGGGGCAACUGGAGCACCCAGAGGAAACCCACAAAAACACUGGGAGAACUUGCAAACUUCACACAGAAACACCA
ensembl:processed_transcript